UGGGGAAUAUUGGACAAUGGGCGGAAGCCUGAUCCAGCAACGCCGCGUGAGGGAUGACGGCCUUCGGGUUGUAAACCUCUUUCAGCACAGACGAAGCGCAAGUGACGGUAUGUGCAGAAGAAGGACCGGCCAACUACGUGCCAGCAGCCGCGGUAAUACGUAGGGUCCGAGCGUUGUCCGGAAUUAUUGGGCGUAAAGGGCUCGUAGGCGGUUUGUCGCGUCGGGAGUGAAAACACCGGGCUUAACUCGGUGCUUGCUUUCGAUACGGGCAGACUAGAGGCAUUCAGGGGAGAACGGAAUUCCUGGUGUAGCGGUGAAAUGCGCAGAUAUCAGGAGGAACACCGGUGGCGAAGGCGGUUCUCUGGGAAUGUCCUGACGCUGAGGAGCGAAAGUGUGGGGAGCGAACAGGAUUAGAUACCCUGGUAGUCCACACCGUAAACGUUGGGCGCUAGGUGUGGGAUCCAUUCCACGGGGUUCCGUGCCGCAGCUAACGCAUUAAGUGCCCCGCCUGGGGAGUACGGCCGCAAGGCUAAAACUCAAAUGAAUUGAC
rnacentral:rRNA from 1 species